rnacentral:rRNA from 1 species
CCUACGGGAUGCAGCAGUGAGGAAUAUUGGUCAAUGGGCGCGAGCCUGAACCAGCCAAGUCGCGUGAGGGAAGACGGUCCUAUGGAUUGUAAACCUCUUUUGUCGGGGAGCAAAAGACGCCACGCGUGGCGUUCCGAGAGUACCCGAAGAAAAAGCAUCGGCUCACUCCGUGCCAGCAGCCGCGGUAAUACGGAGGAUGCGAGCGUUAUCCGGAUUUCUUGGGUUUAAAGGGUGCGCAGGCGGAACAGUAAGUCAGCGGUAAAAUUGAGAGGCUCAACCUCGUCGAGCCGUUGAAACUGGUUUUCUUGAGUGAGCGAGAAGUAUGCGGAAUGCGUGGUGUAGCGGUGAAAUGCAUAGAUAUCGCGCAGAACUCCGAUUGCGAAGGCAGCGUACCGGCGCUCAACUGACGCUGAGGCACGAAAGUGUGGGUAUCGAACAGGAUUAGAUACCCCAGUAGUC